rnacentral:rRNA from 1 species
UCCUGUCUGAAUAUGGGGGGACCAUCCUCCAAGGCUAAAUACUCCUGACUGACCGAUAGUGAACCAGUACCGUGAGGGAAAGGCGAAAAGAACCCCGGCGAGGGGAGUGAAAAAGAACCUGAAACCGUGUACGUACAAGCAGUGGGAGCACGCUUAGGCGUGUGACUGCGUACCUUUUGUAUAAUGGGUCAGCGACUUAUAUUCUGUAGCAAGGUUAACCGAAUAGGGGAGCCGAAGGGAAACCGAGUCUUAACUGGGCGUUAAGUUGCAGGGUAUAGACCCGAAACCCGGUGAUCUAGCCAUGGGCAGGUUGAAGGUUGGGUAACACUAACUGGAGGACCGAACCGACUAAUGUUGAAAAAUUAGCGGAUGACUUGUGGCUGGGGGUGAAAGGCCAAUCAAACCGGGAGAUAGCUGGUUCUCCCCGAAAGCUAUUUAGGUAGCGCCUCGUGAAUUCAUCUCCGGGGGUAGAGCACUGUUUCGGCAAGGGGGUCAUCCCGACUUACCAACCCGAUGCAAACUGCGAAUACCGGAGAAUGUUAUCACGGGAGACACACGGCGGGUGCUAACGUCCGUCGUGAAGAGGGAAACAACCCAGACCGCCAGCUAAGGUCCCAAAGUCAUGGUUAAGUGGGAAACGAUGUGGGAAGGCCCAGACAGCCAGGAUGUUGGCUUAGAAGCAGCCAUCAUUUAAAGAAAGCGUAAUAGCUCACUGGUCGAGUCGGCCUGCGCGGAAGAUGUAACGGGGCUAAACCAUGCACCGAAGCUGCGGCAGCGACGCUUAUGCGUUGUUGGGUAGGGGAGCGUUCUGUAAGCCUGUGAAGGUGUGCUGUGAGGCAUGCUGGAGGUAUCAGAAGUGCGAAUGCUGACAUAAGUAACGAUAAAGCGGGUGAAAAGCCCGCUCGCCGGAAGACCAAGGGUUCCUGUCCAACGUUAAUCGGGGCAGGGUGAGUCGACCCCUAAGGCGAGGCCGAAAGGCGUAGUCGAUGGGAAACAGGUUAAUAUUCCUGUACUUGGUGUUACUGCGAAGGGGGGACGGAGAAGGCUAUGUUGGCCGGGCGACGGUUGUCCCGGUUUAAGCGUGUAGGCUGGUUUUCCAGGCAAAUCCGGAAAAUCAAGGCUGAGGCGUGAUGACGAGGCACUACGGUGCUGAAGCAACAAAUGCCCUGCUUCCAGGAAAAGCCUCUAAGCAUCAGGUAACAUCAAAUCGUACCCCAAACCGACACAGGUGGUCAGGUAGAGAAUACCAAGGCGCUUGAGAGAACUCGGGUGAAGGAACUAGGCAAAAUGGUGCCGUAACUUCGGGAGAAGGCACGCUGAUAUGUAGGUGAAGCGACUUGCUCGUGGAGCUGAAAUCAGUCGAAGAUACCAGCUGGCUGCAACUGUUUAUUAAAAACACAGCACUGUGCAAACACGAAAGUGGACGUAUACGGUGUGACGCCUGCCCGGUGCCGGAAGGUUAAUUGAUGGGGUCAGCGCAAGCGAAGCUCUUGAUCGAAGCCCCGGUAAACGGCGGCCGUAACUAUAACGGUCCUAAGGUAGCGAAAUUCCUUGUCGGGUAAGUUCCGACCUGCACGAAUGGCGUAAUGAUGGCCAGGCUGUCUCCACCCGAGACUCAGUGAAAUUGAACUCGCUGUGAAGAUGCAGUGUACCCGCGGCAAGACGGAAAGACCCCGUGAACCUUUACUAUAGCUUGACACUGAACAUUGAGCCUUGAUGUGUAGGAUAGGUGGGAGGCUUUGAAGUGUGGACGCCAGUCUGCAUGGAGCCGGCCUUGAAAUACCACCCUUUAAUGUUUGAUGUUCUAACGUGGACCCGUAAUCCGGGUUGCGGACAGUGUCUGGUGGGUAGUUUGACUGGGGCGGUCUCCUCCUAAAGAGUAACGGAGGAGCACGAAGGUUGGCUAAUCCUGGUCGGACAUCAGGAGGUUAGUGCAAUGGCAUAAGCCAGCUUGACUGCGAGCGUGACGGCGCGAGCAGGUGCGAAAGCAGGUCAUAGUGAUCCGGUGGUUCUGAAUGGAAGGGCCAUCGCUCAACGGAUAAAAGGUACUCCGGGGAUAACAGGCUGAUACCGCCCAAGAGUUCAUAUCGACGGCGGUGUUUGGCACCUCGAUGUCGGCUCAUCACAUCCUGGGGCUGAAGUAGGUCCCAAGGGUAUGGCUGUUCGCCAUUUAAAGUGGUACGCGAGCUGGGUUUAGAACGUCGUGAGACAGUUCGGUCCCUAUCUGCCGUGGGCGCUGGAGAACUGAGGGGGGCUGCUCCUAGUACGAGAGGACCGGAGUGGACGCAUCACUGGUGUUCGGGUUGUCAUGCCAAUGGCACUGCCCGGUAGCUAAAUGCGGAAGAGAUAAGUGCUGAAAGCAUCUAAGCACGAAACUUGCCCCGAGAUGAGUUCUCCCUGACUCCUUGAGAGUCCUGAAGGAACGUUGAAGACGACGACGUUGAUAGGCCGGGUGUGUAAGCGCAGCGAUGCGUUGAGCUAACCGGUACUAAUGAACCGUGAGGCUUAACCUU